UACGUAGGGACCGAGCGUUGUCCGGAAUCAUUGGGCGUAAAGAGCGUGUAGGCGGCCUUUUAAGUCCUGCGUGAAAUCCUGCGGCUCAACCGCAGACGGUCGUGGGAAACUGGAAGGCUAGAGUGCGGGAGAGGAGAGUGGAAUUCCCGGUGUAGCGGUGAAAUGCGCAGAUAUCGGGAAGAACACCCGUGGCGAAGGCGACUCGCUGGACAAGUAUUGACGCUGAGGUGCGAAAGCGUGGGGAGCAAACAGG
rnacentral:rRNA from 1 species